GCUAUCUGUGUGCCAGGAGCCGGGGGAAAACAGGGGGGGCAAGCGGUGUUCGGAAGUACUGGGCGUAAAGGGCCAGUAGGCGGCCAACUAAGUCCGACGUGAAAUCCCCAGGCUUAACCUGGGAACUGCGGCGGAUACUGGUUGGCUUGAAUUCGGGAGAGGGAUGCAGAAUUCCAGGUGUAGCGGUGAAAUGCGUAGAUAUCUGGAGGAAUACCGGUGGCGAAGGCGGCAUCCUGGACCGACAUUGACGCUGAACGGCGAAAGCUAGGGGAGCAAACGGGAUUAGAUACCCGAGUAGUC
rnacentral:rRNA from 1 species